GUCCACGCCGUAAACGAUGAGUACUAGGUGUAGGGGGUAUCGACCCCCUCUGUGCCGAAGCUAACGCGAUAAGUACUCCGCCUGGGGACUACGGCCGCAAGGCUAAAACUCAAAGGAAUUGACGGGGGCCCGCACAAGCAGCGGAGCGUGUGGUUUAAUUCGAUGAUACGCGAAGAACCUCACCCAGGCUUGACAUGUAUGUGGUACAGAGGUGAAAGCCGACGGACCCUUCGGGGAGCAUACACAGGUGUUGCACGGCCGUCGU
rnacentral:rRNA from 1 species